rnacentral:lncRNA from 1 species
AUAUUGAUCGGAUUAAACUGAUUUAGUUCAUUAUUUUUUAAAACUUAGAUUAGAUUAGUUGAGCAUAUCUUUUAGUUAGUUAAAUAAGGAUUUUGUAGUUAUCCUCUAAUUUAGUUUUAUCUGUAUUUAUUUUAGAUUUUAUUGUUAGGAUUUUAUCUAGAAGUUGUUAUGAAGGUUGUUAAUUUGGUAGAGAUUUUAUUGUUAGGAUUUUGUUUUGAGCUUAUCAUUGUUAGAAAAGCUCUUUAAAUAUUCUAUGUAUUGGACGAUAAUUAAUCAAUGAAUGAGGAAGAAUGUUAUUUUUUAAAAUGAGAUGUGUUCUCUAAUUUUUCCUUCGCGAAUGCGUCGCCCUGGAGUGAGUCCAGUCCCGAAGUGAGUUCGGUUCAGGAGUGAGUCCUGAUUAUCUUUUCUAUUUUUUUCUUUUUUUUUUAAUUUUUCUAUUUUCUUUAAUUUUUAUUUUUUUUUAAUUACGGAAAUUUUUUUUUUUAAAAAAAAAGUAUUUCAAAACUUUCAAAAUUUUAAAACGCUUUCAAAAUCAUAAAUUAUAUUUUAGAGCCCUUUAAAAACGUAGGACCCUAUAUCCCGUCCUGCAUCAGAUUUGGUAUCAGAGCUUAAGGCUAUUUGACGGUUCUAUUUCGUCAAAAAUUUUGGGCUUGUGGAAACAAGGUGGAAAUUUUUUUUAAAAAAAAUUAUGGAUGCAAAAGAAUGUCUUAAAAAUGUUUUUCAAAAGUAUGGUAGAAGAAAAGGAAUUCAUAUUGAGUCUUUAAAAGAAAUAUGUGAGAUGACAGGAGUAGAGUUUGAUGAAUGGCUGUACGAUCAAAGGUCAUAUUUUGAGAGAAGAAGAAAUGAUAUUCGGAUGGAAAUGCUAGAUGACUUGAGAUGGUGGUAUAGACAAAGGCAAAUAUCUCAUCUUGAUUUUAACAUAAUAUUUUUGAAGGAAGAAGAAAGAAGGUUGAAAGAUAUUGAAAAUAGUGCUAAAAUUGCUGAAGAUGAUUUUCGAUGGAUGGGUAAGGUCAGAGAUGAGUAUCGCUGGAUCCAACUAAAAGUUCAACUAGAAACCCUAGUUGCUCAACAGAGUACACAACCUAUAGAACAGUUGGAAGUCGACAAUUCUGAUCCAGUUCCAUCCACACCAUCUGAUUGCCAAGAAGUUCCAGCUGUGGCCGGGUCCGAGUUAGAUUUAGAAAAUCCAGAGUUGAUUCAUGAAGAUAAGGUAAAUCAGUGUGUUGAGGAGGUAAGAUUACAGAUCAAGUUACCCUCAUUGGUCCAGCAAUAUGAGUCCACUAUAUUAGAUCUUCAAAUUGCGUCGGAAGUAUCUUUCUCGUUGAUAUCAAACCUCAUGAAGUCUCAUGAAUUUAUCAAUCAUUCUUCCUACAUCAAGACCAAGCCGGAAACUCGGAUGAUACCGAUUGUUCGACAUGCAGGCAUUGGACUGCAUCACUUUAUUUUGCCCACUUGGUUGUUUCCUAUCUCGUUACAAAUUCAACUAAUCUCGAGGACGAGAUUCUGCGCAGCGGAAGCGAAUGAUGCAGAAUAGACUUGAACCUAUAUUGAUCGGAUUAAACUGAUUUAGUUCAUUAUUUUUUAAAACUUAGAUUAGAUUAGUUGAGCAUAUCUUUUAGUUAGUUAAAUAAGGAUUUUGUAGUUAUCCUCUAAUUUAGUUUUAUCUGUAUUUAUUUUAGAUUUUAUUAUUAGGAUUUUAUCUAGAAGUUGUUAUGAAGGUUGUUAAUUUGGUAGAGAUUUUAUUGUUAGGAUUUUGUUUUGAGCUUAUCAUUGUUAGAAAAGCUCUUUAAAUAUUCUAUGUAUUGGACGAUAAUUAAUCAAUGAAUGAGGAAGAAUGUUAUUUUUUAAAAUGAGAUGUGUUCUCUAAUUUUUCCUUCGCGAAUGCGUCGCCCUGGAGUGAGUCCAGUCCCGAAGUGAGUUCGGUUCAGGAGUGAGUCCUGAUUAUCUUUUCUAUUUUUUUCUUUUUUUUUUUAAUUUUUCUAUUUUCUUUAAUUUUUAUUUUUUUUAAUUACGGAAUUUUUUUUUAAAAAAAAAGUAUUUCAAAACUUUCAAAAUUUUAAAACGCUUUCAAAAUCAUAAAUUAUAUUUUAGAGCCCUCUAAAAACGUAGGACCCUAUAUCCCGUCCUGCAUCAGUACCGGUACAAAUCCUGUACCGGUACAACCAACGACCUGUCACCGGUAACACAGU